CUCAAUGAUCGUGUCUUGAAGUUCUCUCAGUUAUCGCGUAUAAAUAAGCUAAGUUCUCUCAUUGUUAAAUUCUCUCAUUGACCGCAUGUUAAUUUGUCUCUGUGAUCGCGUGUUAAGUUCUAACUAAGUUGUAACCAAAUUUCUCUCAAUAAUAGCGUAUAACUUCAUUAUGUUUUCUCAUUGUUCAGUUCUCUCAGUGGUCGCAUUUAAGUUUUCUUUGUUCUCUCAGCGUUAAGUUCUCUCAAUGAUCGCGUAUAAGUUCUCUCAGUGUUUAGUUCUCUCAAUGAUCGCGUCUUAAGUUCUCUCAGUUAUCGCGUAUAAGUAAGUUAAGUUCUCUCAGUGUUAGGUUUUUCAUUGACCGCGUGUUAAUUUUUCUUUGUGAUCGCGUAUUAA